ACUAUUGUUAAAAAAGGUUGCUAUAUAUUCAUGUUCCAAAAAAAGAUAAAUGCCAGAGAUGGAAAAACUUACCACUAGAUAAGAAAACACUGACCACUAAGCACUACAAUGGAUUCCUACUGUUAAUAAACACAUUAUUCACGUUUCUUUUCCUGUAAAAGUUGCCAAAUGGACUUGUGUCGUUCUGCCAGAAUGUCGUAGAGGCGGAAGUACACUAUCACGACCACAGUGGAGUGCAAAUUUACAGGCAAGUUUAACUGAUGUAACAUUCCAAUACAAAUAAAAUGUUUGGCAGCCUUUUCAGUGAUUAGAUAACAGAGGAGUGCCGCCACAAAUAUGUAUGUCAGAGAUAAGUUUUCAUUAUUUAAUGGUUCCUAGAAUAGGAUUAAAAAUCUUAUUCAGGGAUUUCGUUGUAAAUAAAUAAUAAAAGUUGGAUUAAAAUGCAACAAGUCUAUGCAUAAAGAUUUUGUUUUCCAUGUAGUAGGCAAAAGGGGGAAUAGCAACGUAUUAACCCAUUCAUUCCCACUACACUGAAUCAAGUACAUUUAAUUUUUUAAUGAGCUACCCUCUGUUGUUGAGUUUAUUGCAAUAUUAUAUUAUAGCUGUUGGUAUUCUAUAUUACCUACUUUUAUAAAUCAUAACCACUAUUGCAAAGGACGCCUUCUCAUUGCUUUGACAUUUGUUCCUUUUUGUGAUGUAAUGUAACGAUAUUGCAAGCCAAUGAACCCGGACGAUGAACCAGUACAGUUUAAGGAAAUAACUAAGCAAUAUUAUAAGUGCCCAUCGGAUCAUCGACGAAUGGUGAAAAUGCAUGAUAUACAGAAUAAGCAUAAAGUGUUGUUAAAUAGAGAGAAUUAAUAAUGUUAAAGAAGUUACGUGUAAACCUCCACCAAGAACACAAUAAACGUCUUAUUAAAAAUGUAAGUGUUUAUGUGCAAGUCCUGGGACACCCAAUAAAAGAACAAAAGGAAGAAUGUUUCAGUGAAAACCAUUUACAUUUGUUGUCUCUGGAAAAGAUGAAGACUGCCAAAAAUGAAAAAAGAAAAAGGGAACUAAACGAGGAUGACUACCAGAAUUCCAGUUUGCCUCUAGAUUAUUUGAGGAUUUUUCUUUUUACGAGGUACCACCAACUUCCGAGAGAGAGAGAGAGGAUGCAUAUCCACCAAUCGUUAUCAAGAAAUAAGGCAGUACAUACAUUUGUCAGGCAUUUAGUAUAUUUUAGUAAAUUACGACAAAUGUAUUAUGCUAGUUAUGUAUAUUUUUAUUGUGAUGGUGCGACACCACGCAGCUUCCUAAAACAACCACGAAAAAAUUGUAGAAUACCUAACAAUAACCGGUCUCAAACCGGACGUCUGUCGUUUCAGACAAACCAUGUAACGAUGUAAAUUGUGCGGACCGGAAACCAGGAUGAUAGAAAAACAUGGCAAACAUGAAAGUGCAAAUGCUCUGACCACCAUACCGACUAAUAACUACCGAGUUAUUUAUUUAUUAUUACCCUUUCAGUGUACCGUCCCCGUCAUCCCAGUUUCAGCGUCGCCGCAAGCGACAAAAAAUGUUUAUUUUAAAUAUUCACCGGAGUAUUUUCGGUUUUACAGCAACCCAGGUGCACCCUUCCUAAGAAGGAAUUGGCGCCCGAGCAAACCGCCCCGACGAAGGCGCCACCUCGCAUCGCACAGACGGGCAGGCGUACGACUCGAAACAUGACAAACUGUUCAAAUUAAGACCUCUUUAGUCAAUUGGAACCUUCCGCAUCAGUCAAAGAGGACUACCGACAAAGAAGAAACCUUCAAUAAUUUCUGAUAAGAAAUUGUCCGUAUGUACAGUAAGUGAAUGCUUAAAACACUAGUUCAUUCGCAAAAUGGUUUACAAAUAAUCUACAGACAUUAGUAAGUAAGGAUGUCCAGAAAAUUUGAAGAACAAUUUUGACUUCCAGUGAAGUUAUAGAUAUGCUAGAAAGUUCUACAGAUCCGUCAUAAAAACCAUCAAAUGGUACACCCUAUAAAAGAGAUACUUCAAAAAUAUCAUCAAGAUAAACCACAAGGAAGUACUGACACAAGACGUUGUGAUGGGGCAGUCCACCAAGACUAAAAAAAAGACAUUUUGUUAAUCCCCGGUUCUCGGCUGCAUACAUAGAAAAACGUGCCAGCCGUGAAAUGGUUAAUGAAAUGAAGGGUGGUGGGGAAAAACGACUUCAGUCCAUUUCUCCUUGAAAUGCGCUUGAGGUACCAUCUAGUGGCAGUGUGAGUACUAUAACAUACGUCAACCAGCAACUGGUAACAAUGUCCUGCAGAAUACACACACGUUCGAUAAGAAGUUGUGGUGCUACUAGGCCAGUUUGAUCUCAUUUGACCUGGCUUAGGAGCCCCACUAUAUACCUACUCCUAUUUUUCCUACCGGUAUACUUGUG